rfam:Tritrichomonas foetus strain K scaffold_304, whole genome shotgun sequence.
GCCCCUGUAGUGUAAUGGAUAGCAUAUGAGACUUCUAAUCUUCUGGUAUGGGUUCGAUCCCCAUCAGGGGUA